GAUGAAGAACGCAGCGAAAUGCGAUAAGUAAUGUGAAUUGCAGAAUUCAGUGAAUCAUCGAAUCUUUGAACGCAUCUUGCGCUCCUUGGUAUUCUGAGGAGCAUGCCUGUUUGAGUGUCAUUAAAUUCUCAACUACACUGACUUUGAAUUGGUGUGGCUUGGAUUUGGGGGGAAAAUUGUUGUGGGCUUUUUGUAUAGUCUGCUCCCCUGAAAUUGAUUAGCGGUACCUUUGUGGAACUGUCUACAGGUGUGAUAAUUAUCUACAUCUUAGACAUCUGCUGGAAUGCUGCUUUCUAAACCUUACUUGUAUUGAAAAUCUUGACCUCAAAUCAGGUAGGACUACCCGCUGAACUUAAGCAUAUCAAUAAGCGGAGGA
rnacentral:misc_RNA from 1 species